rnacentral:rRNA from 1 species
GGUUAAGCGACUAAGCGUACACGGUGGAUGCCCUGGCAGUCAGAGGCGAUGAAGGACGUGCUAAUCUGCGAAAAGCGUCGGUAAGGUGAUAUGAACCGUUAUAACCGGCGAUGUCCGAAUGGGGAAACCCAGUGCAAUUCGUUGCACUAUCGUUAACUGAAUACAUAGGUUAACGAGGCGAACCGGGGGAACUGAAACAUCUAAGUACCCCGAGGAAAAGAAAUCAACCGAGAUUCCCCCAGUAGCGGCGAGCGAACGGGGAGCAGCCCAGAGUCUGAAUCAGCUUGUGUGUUAGUGGAACGGUCUGGAAAGUCCGACGGUACAGGGUGAUAGUCCCGUACACCAAAAUGCACAGGUUGUGAACUCGAAGAGUAGGGCGGGACACGUGGUAUCCUGUCUGAAUAUGGGGGGACCAUCCUCCAAGGCUAAAUACUCCUGACUGACCGAUAGUGAACCAGUACCGUGAGGGAAAGGCGAAAAGAACCCCGGCGAGGGGAGUGAAAAAGAACCUGAAACCGUGUACGUACAAGCAGUGGGAGCACCUUCGGGUGUGACUGCGUACCUUUUGUAUAAUGGGUCAGCGACUUAUAUUCUGUAGCAAGGUUAACCGUAUAGGGGAGCCGCAGGGAAACCGAGUCUUAACUGGGCGUUAAGUUGCAGGGUAUAGACCCGAAACCCGGUGAUCUAGCCAUGGGCAGGUUGAAGGUUGGGUAACACUAACUGGAGGACCGAACCGACUAAUGUUGAAAAAUUAGCGGAUGACUUGUGGCUGGGGGUGAAAGGCCAAUCAAACCGGGAGAUAGCUGGUUCUCCCCGAAAGCUAUUUAGGUAGCGCCUCGUGAACUCAUCUUCGGGGGUAGAGCACUGUUUCGGCUAGGGGGUCAUCCCGACUUACCAACCCGAUGCAAACUACGAAUACCGAAGAAUGUUAUCACGGGAGACACACGGCGGGUGCUAACGUCCGUCGUGAAGAGGGAAACAACCCAGACCGCCAGCUAAGGUCCCAAAGUCAUGGUUAAGUGGGAAACGAUGUGGGAAGGCACAGACAGCCAGGAUGUUGGCUUAGAAGCAGCCAUCAUUUAAAGAAAGCGUAAUAGCUCACUGGUCGAGUCGGCCUGCGCGGAAGAUGUAACGGGGCUAAACCAUGCACCGAAGCUGCGGCAGCGACACUAUGUGUUGUUGGGUAGGGGAGCGUUCUGUAAGCCUGCGAAGGUGACCUGUGAGGGUUGCUGGAGGUAUCAGAAGUGCGAAUGCUGACAUAAGUAACGAUAAAGCGGGUGAAAAGCCCGCUCGCCGGAAGACCAAGGGUUCCUGUCCAACGUUAAUCGGGGCAGGGUGAGUCGACCCCUAAGGCGAGGCCGAAAGGCGUAGUCGAUGGGAAACAGGUUAAUAUUCCUGUACUUGGUGUUACUGCGAAGGGGGGACGGAGAAGGCUAUGUUAGCCGGGCGACGGUUGUCCCGGUUUAAGCAUGUAGGCUG